rnacentral:lncRNA from 1 species
GAAACUAGUUUCAAUGAUCCAACCGUCAAACAUGUUUGUAUAUACUUCGAGAUCGCAUACGCCAAAAAUUGCAAAAAACAAACAUUCAGAGAUAAAGUAACGGGACAAAAUUUUUUGACGGUUAUAAACGAAAAAUCACGAUUUAACGGUUAUUUUAACUCCGAUUUUGAUGAUUUUUUACAGCUACCUCCUGGACCCUAUAUGAAUACAAUGAAUGAAAUCGAUCUUCAAUUUAAAAUAUUUACACUAAUGGAUACCACAAAAUCUAUUGUUAUACUUAAUGAAAGUAUAAAUAAACUCUUAAGUAUUAGUGAAUCUAUUGUUUUGAUGGGAUACUCAUUCUACAAAACUAGUUUCAAUGAUCCAACCGUUAAACAUAUUUGUAUAUACUUCGAGAUUGCAUACGCCAAAAAUUGCAAAAAACAAACAUUAAGAGAUAAAGUAACGGGCCAAAACUUUUCGACGAUUAUAAACGAAAAAUCACGAUUUAACGGUUAUUUUAACUCCGAUUUUGAUGAUUUUUUGUAGCUACACUCCUUGACCCUAUAUGAAUACAAUGAAUGAAUUCGAUCUUCAAUUUAAAAUAUUUACACUAAUGGAUACCACAAAAUCUUACGUUAUACUUAAUGAAAGUAUGAAUAAACUCUUAAGUAUUAGUGAAUCUAUUGUUUUGAUGGGAUACUUAUUCUACGAAACUAGUUUCAAUGAUCCAACCGUCAAAUAUGUUUGUAUAUACUUCGAGAUCGCAUACUCAAAAAUUGUAAAAAACAAACAUUCAGAAAUCAAGGAACGGGACAAAACUGUUUGACAGUUAUAAAAAGAAAAAUUACGAUUUAACGGUCAUUUUAACUCUGAUUUUGAUGAUUUUUUGCAACUACACUCCUUGACCCUAUAUGAAUACAAUGAUUGAAUUCGAUCUUCAAUUUAAAAUAUUUACACUAGUGGAUACAAAAAAAAUCUUAUGUUAUACUUAAUGAAAGUAUGAAUAAACUUUUAAGUGUUAGUGAAUCUAUUGGUUUGAUGAGAUACACGCAUUCUACGAAACUAGUUUCAAUGAUCGAACCAUCAAACAUGUUUGUAUAUACUUCGAGAUUGCAUAUGCCAAAAAUUGCAAAAAAUAAAUAUUCAGAGAUCAAGUAACGGGACAAAACUUUUUGACGGUUAUAAAAUGAAAAAUCACGAUUUAACGGUUAUUUUAACUCCGAUUUUGAUGAUUUUUUACAGCUACACUCCUUGACUCUAUAUGAAUACAAAGAAUGAAUUCGAUCUUCAAUUUAAAAUAUUUACACUAGUGGAUAUCACAAAAUCUUAUGUUAUACUUAAUAAAAGUAUGAAUAAACUAUAAUAAUUAUAUAUAUUAAUUUAACAAUUUUAUACCCCUAAAAACUAUAAUAAUUAUAUAUAUAUUAAAUUAAAUUAAAAAAAUGGAUGACCAUUGGAUCAGCUGAGAUCAAGCCAAAGUUCCAAUACAAUUUCAUGAUGAUCGAUGUAAAUCGAGGAUUUUGUAAAUUGAGGUUUAAACUUUUGAGAAAGACUUCACAACCUUGAAAACAAAAACUUUUUCAUUUUGCAUAUCCUUGCACAUUUAAUAUUUGUAAUAGAUUAGUAGUGUAUGUAUUAUUUUUUUAUUAGGCACUUAUUUUCGAGUGUAGAUGUAGUACUUAAACGACAAAUGUGUUUUAAUGUUGUGAAGUAAUAUUUAUGUGGCAAUGUGUGGUAUGUGCAAAUUUAAGAAAAAAAAAAUAUUUUUCUUAACGGGUCAUAACGGGUCGGGUCACUUUACC